AGAGAAAAUAUAAUCACAGUGAGGAGAAACCCCAAGUGGAUAAAGCUUGUUCUAAAACGAGGGCCCUUUCCGAAUAGCCACAGUUCAGUAGGCAGUACUUUUCAGUAGGGAGUUUCAGUAUACUGAACUUUCGUGGUCAUUCAGUAUGCAUUUUUUGGGUCCACCUCAGUAUACUGAACAUUUCAGUAUGGAUACUAACUUCCGGGUUUUAUGCAGUAUGGAUCGGAUGCGUGCUUUCAGGAAAUGAAUUGUAUUUUACCCACAAUGCUGUGCGAAAUUAAACGUUAAUCGUCA